UAAUACAUGCAAGUCGAGCGAAUGGAUUAAGAGCUUGCUCUUAUGAAGUUAGCGGCGGACGGGUGAGUAACACGUGGGUAACCUGCCCAUAAGACUGGGAUAACUCCGGGAAACCGGGGCUAAUACCGGAUAACAUUUUGAACCGCAUGGUUCGAAAUUGAAAGGCGGCUUCGGCUGUCACUUAUGGAUGGACCCGCGUCGCAUUAGCUAGUUGGUGAGGUAACGGCUCACCAAGGCAACGAUGCGUAGCCGACCUGAGAGGGUGAUCGGCCACACUGGGACUGAGACACGGCCCAGACUCCUACGGGAGGCAGCAGUAGGGAAUCUUCCGCAAUGGACGAAAGUCUGACGGAGCAACGCCGCGUGAGUGAUGAAGGCUUUCGGGUCGUAAAACUCUGUUGUUAGGGAAGAACAAGUGCUAGUUGAAUAAGCUGGCACCUUGACGGUACCUAACCAGAAAGCCACGGCUAACUACGUGCCAGCAGCCGCGGUAAUACGUAGGUGGCAAGCGUUAUCCGGAAUUAUUGGGCGUAAAGCGCGCGCAGGUGGUUUCUUAAGUCUGAUGUGAAAGCCCACGGCUCAACCGUGGAGGGUCAUUGGAAACUGGGAGACUUGAGUGCAGAAGAGGAAAGUGGAAUUCCAUGUGUAGCGGUGAAAUGCGUAGAGAUAUGGAGGAACACCAGUGGCGAAGGCGACUUUCUGGUCUGUAACUGACACUGAGGCGC
rnacentral:rRNA from 1 species